rnacentral:lncRNA from 10 species
CUGGAAACAAAGCACAGAGCAAGGCUGAAGGAGCAAGACCUCCACAGUGCAGCUAAACAGCCAAAUGAGUCUCCCGCAAGUCAGGAAAACUGGAUAAAAAGAGGCCUAAAUGUGAGCAAGAGCUAUCAUGUUUGGCUUCAAGUGAGGAAAAUGAGGCAGAGAAUGAAACAUUUCCAUCUGGAUGACCAAACCGUCAGCUCCUAAAGGGCCGCAGAGGCUGAGGGCGCUGCUGGCAGCCGGCCCUCUGUGGACAUUUGCUGAAUAAACAGAAGAUAUGUGCACCAGUGUUCGCUCCUUUGGGUGAUACCAUCCCAUUUUUAUUUUCUGGAUUUCCUUCCUGAUGGGUCCAUUGUUCCUCAUUUUCCUCUAGCAUUAAAUUCCUUUAUCUUUUCAUUCCCACACAGUCGCUGCCUGUGGUUGAAAAUUGAGUCACCUCUCAGGCCCCAGUGACUUUCCUGGAGAAGUCCAGGAAGCAGGCCUGCUGCAAGAUCCGGGCAAAUUCCUGGAAUCCAUUCCCCGAGGUCAGCAUAUGAGCUCAAACCUGGGACUGACCGGGGCAGACAUAAGAAGGAACACUUCCCCCACACCCCACGAGGAUUUGCACUCGAGUGUUCCAAACCAUCCUGGGGCGAACGGGACACAGUGGGGAACAACUGGUCAUAUCUUUAUGCCAGCGUUUGCCAGAGCCUGCGCCCAGAGAACCAGCUCCACAGAUCUAUGCCAAAAGGCUCUAUGCCAAUUAAGUUUGUGAAGCAUCAUAUAUUAUAUUCUCUGGGGAUUGGCCGGGCUUGGGGGCUCAUGCCUGUAAUCCCAGCACUUUGAGAAGCUGAGGUCAGGAGUUUGAGACCAGCCUGGCCAACACGGCAAAACCCCGUCUCUACUAAAAGUACAAAAAUUAGCCAGACGUGGUGGUGGGCGCCUUUAAUCCCAGCUACUCAGGAGGCUGAGACAGGAGAAUCGCCUGAACCCGGGAGUGGAGGUUGCAGUGAGCCGAGAUGGUGCCACUGCACUCCAGCCUGGGAGACAAGAGCGAGACUCCAUCAAAAAAAAAAAAAAAAAAAAAAAAAAAGGAAGGAGAAAGGGAAAGGAGGGAGGAAGGGAGGAAAAAAGGAAAGGAAAAAAAGAAAAAAUGAAAAGAAGAAAAGAUUUCUUGGUCAAAAUGAGACAUACAAAACCAAACAUUUCUAGAGGACAUCUCAGAGUCUGUAACAGAUUCUUGGGCAUUAUAAAGACCUUCCUUGGCCGGGCACGGCGGCACACGCCUAUAAUCCCAGCACUUUAGGAGGCCGAGAUGGGCGGAU